CAUAGUCACAGAAGAAAUGGGGGAUGAUGUUUUUAGAAAGAAGGACAGUUGAGCCAGGAGGAUGGUGUGGGUAAGGGCAAUGGCACAGGAGAGGAACCAGGAUCCAGCCAACAGACAUAGACACAGCUCCUCCCUCAUGAUGACUGUUGUAGAGGGUGACAAAUGGCCACAUAUCUGUCAUAGGACAUCACUGCAAGAAGAAGGUUAUCAAUGCAAGCAAAAAUCAUGAAAAAACAUGUCUGUAUUACACACCCUGCAUAGGGAAUAGAUUGAUCCUGAGUCUGCAUGUUCAUCAGCAUCUUUGGAACUGUGACAGAUGAAAAGGAGACAUCCGUGAGGGCCAGUUGGCUGAGGAAGAAGUACAUGGGGGUGUGGAGGCGAGGGUCCAGCCUGAUGAGCAGGAUGAUGAGUAGGUUCCCCAGCACUGUGGUCAGGUACAUGCCCAUGAACACGGCAAAGAAGAACCCCUGCUGUUCUGGCUGGAUGGGGAGUCCCAUGAGGAGGAACUCGGACACGUGGCUCUGGUUCUCCCUCCUCAUGCUCCUCUCCUGUCUGCUGGGGAAGGAUGGGAGCAGGAAUAUCAGAGACAUUGAACUCAUAUUGUGGCCACCACAUUAGGUCUCUCACCUUCUCAUGGAGAAAAAGGAUAACUGCCUGCAUUUGUUUUAUCACCUGUUCUUGCCAAAGCAAGUGACAUACCCUCAACGCUCAACAUGAUUCCUUUCAAUGAAAACCAGAGAAAAUUCUACACUUUUUCUUUUUAAUCAACCAUGUUACUGACACUAAGCUAAUAACUGGACAUAGAAGAAUAAAUACAACAUACAGGACCUCCUCCCUCAGGAGACUAUCCCUCAAGGACACACUUGACCAAGGACUAACUAAAUGAACCUGAAGCCAGAUUCACUGUGUUGUAACUUUGGUCACAUGAAAUUCUUGAUGUAGGACUUUGGAUGCUAAAUCUCUAUUAGCCUCAUGUUGCCCUUCUAUAAUACCAUGAGGCUGCCAAUAUCACACUUCCAUAGAUUUAAAAAAAGGAUUCUAAUUCAUGAGGCAUAAAUCUCCAAGAACAAUUUUCUGCAUAAAAUAAACACCAAAAAUUGCAUAGAUUAUUUUUAUGAGAGGAUUUAUAUCCCCCCAAAAAUCAACAUCAAGUUCAGGAAUUUAAGAGUAUUAUGACGUGGUCACUAUAAAGGACCAAGAAACUGCCCUAAAAUUGAGCAACUGAGCUCUCUCAUACUUUUAUUUAUUUAUUUAUUUAUUUAUUUAUUUAUUUAUUUAUUUAUUGACUUUUCUAUUUUCAGGGCCACACCCAAGAAAUAUAGAGGUUCCCAGGCAAGGGGUGUAAUUGGAUCUACAGAUACCAGCCUAUGCCACAGACGCAGCAAUACCAGAUCUGAGCUGCAUCUGUGACCUACACCUCAGCUCAUGGAAAUGCCAGAUCCUUAAACCACUGAGCAAGGCCAGAGAUUGAAAUCCCACAACCUCAUGAUUCCUGGUCAGAUUCCUUUCCGCUGCUCCAUGAUGGAAACUCCUCUCUCACAAUCUUAAGGUGAGUUUCUGAGCUCAUACCCUGUCACAGGGAUCAGUUCCUUGCUCAAACUUUUCUUAAUGUAUGUUUAUCUUCUUGCCAAGAAAUAAACCUUACUUCAGGGCAUGGACCUCCAUCUAUCUCCAUCUACAUCUGAUCCUCCAAGUCGGCUCAGAUCUGGAUAUUCAUCGUUAGGAAGACACCUGAGAUCUAAGAUGUAGUCUGAGAGGUGAGAGGUACUGAAAGAUUGGGGUGUCUCUUAGAAGUCAGUUUCCUGAUUGACCAGCACUAUUUCCCAAUAUUGAGCUUCACACUGAUAAUAAUGGAAAGUUAAUGAACACAAUGGCAGACAAAUACAUUUUUGCAUGAUUGCCUCACUGAACUUUUCAAGAGUCCGAGGAGGGAUCAUAUUAAAACUUCACUUUGGGGAGUUCCCAUUGCAGCUCAGCAGGCUAAGAACCCAAGUAGUAUCCAUGAUGAUACCGGUUUGUACCCUAGCCUCACUCAGUCAGUUAAGGAUCCAGAAUUGCCAUGAGCUGCAGUGUAGGCUCCAGACAGGGUUUGGAUCUGGCAUUGCUGUGGCUGUGGUGUAGGCCAGCAGAUGCAGCUCUGAUUUACCCUAGCCUGGGAACUACCAUAUGCUGCAGGUGAAGCCCUAAAAAAUUAAAAAUUCAAAAAAAAUUUAAAAACUGCACUAUCAACAUACUCAGAAGGAGUAGGAAAUGAACAUGAUCAUAGUGAGUAAGAACUGUAGUCACAUUUCUCUCACAUGCUUUUAAAUAUAUACUGAAAUCUUUGCUUCUAUGACUCCAUGUUCCUCCCUCUGUUUAAUUAGACAAAUAGGCAGGACCUCAAGAAGAAAUGUUUUGUGAUUUGAAGGAGUCCUACUGCUCAGAUAACUGUCCACUCUCAUAUUCCUGCAGACAUUUAGUUUGCCAUAUGCCUUCCAUAUCAUUCAAUCCAUCAUCCUUUAUUUCUCUCUGGGAAGCAGAGAACAGUGUUUGUUCCCUGCAUUUUACCAUCAGGAGUAGGGAUAUAGUUAUUGCAUAGUGGAACCUUGUCUCAAACAUGGAUUUUCUGAUCAUUUUUCAGUACAGAGAAUCCACCCAUUUCUUUUUAUGAGGGGUAGAGAGGCUAACGCAAAAUGUUAAAAGUGAAAAUUUCAUGUUAAAACAUGCCUGAGAGAGGAAAGUUAUAUUAACAUUAUGUAAGAUUCUGUCAAUAGAUGCUCGCUUCUGACAAGGGAGUUGCUUGGGGUUAUUAACUGACUCAGUUCACAGGAAGCAAGGAAGAACCAGGCACUUCACCCUCCUGCCAAGCAUAGGCUUCUCACUGAAAGCUGCUGGGUCAGACUUAGCCCAGGAACUCAUAGAUCACCUGCAGGAGAACCACAGCUCCUAAUGACACCCAGGAGAUGCAAUGGGAACAGAAGAGAACAAUACAGACAUGAAACUUUGAUUCCAUCAGCACUCUGUGCAAAAAGGUUGUUGGGAAACUGCUCAGUAGUGAAGAGGAGAUGAUGUGUGACCUAGGAGUGGGGUGUUGAGAGAGAUUAUAAAUGAGCUCAUUUUCCUAGCUUCAUACCAAAUACCAUCCCCUGCACAAUCAGGACAUGGAGAUUCAGGGGUGUGGGUCUCCUCGAGGCUACAAUUUGCUAAGUGCUAAUGAUGUGUCUGGCUUCUUCAGCACCGUACAUGCAAGGUCUGUCAGCAAUUAGCAUGACCCCAUGGAACAGCACUGGAUGCGGAGAAUCACCAUGGCCAAACCCAAGGCCACCAAGCUAUUACAUGGGGAAUGAUGAAGAUCUGAGUGUCAAAGUAUGUGAUUCCAGAAAUGAGCAUUUCAUUUGUAAAUGAACUGACCAAAAUUGAAGCAGGGUGUCAAAACUAUUGGGCUUCCAGGGGCCCUGCUGGCAGAGUCAAAUCACAGGAAAAUGGAUGCCAAUAGCUCUGCAAAGUCUGUUUCCUGAGGAGCUGCCUGUGUAUCUUCUGGUCUCAGGCCAGUGGAGGGUAAAAAAUGAGAGAAUGUCCCCCUACACACAACACACAGAUAUUUAUUUCUUCUCUGAAGGAAGUCAGGCAUGGGUUUGGUACCCAAAAGUACUCACACACUAUCACAGACACAAACUUGCCAAGUAGAGAUUUAUAGGUUUUUCUGAUUUAUUCUGUGAACUAGAGAAGUACAGUCAGGGUAUGAGUCAGCUUCACACAAAUCUAUGCAAAACUCACAAACAAAAUACCCAUGUACCACACAGCUACACACACAGAACUGUCAAGCAUCCUAGACCAGAGGCCUUGUUGACACAAGAAGUCAUUCAUAUUAGAAAAACAAGCAGUGCGCAAGGUCUUAUACACAGCACACAAGCAGUAGAUGCACAUAGAACAGGCAUACAAUGAGGAAAUGUGCAGGCUUCUGUAGUCUGUCACAUGGAUUAUUUGCAUCUCUCUAUAUUCUAGUGUGUGUCAUUCAGUGUCUUUGUCAGUUACACAUACACACAUAGACUCAUACAACACCACACACACACAAAUAUAACUAAUGUCUCUGAUGGUCACACAAACACUUACACAUUGACACACAUGCCCGACUAGGGAGGUUUCUGGUCUCCUUCUGAGCUAUACCUGUGAUCUGAGUUCAAAUACCUUCUGCUUCAUUC
rnacentral:lncRNA from 1 species